GAGGGCAGUCUCAGUCUCUCCGUCAUGGUGACCGGAGGUGUGUGCCAAGGAGGCUCCAAGAGACAAUAAUUCUCCAUCUCCUUCUCCACUAAAAUACAAAUGGCGACACAGGCUUUAAAGAGCUUUUGAAAACAGAGAAAGAAGUCAAGGAUUGAAAGGUGACCAAGCCAAGUUCUUCUGUCCAGGAGCAGAGAGAAGACAGGGGCCAACUUUUCUGGACAGGAACUAUGGUACUGAAGGAC
rnacentral:lncRNA from 1 species